rnacentral:rRNA from 1 species
CACGUAGGGUGCGAGCGUUGUCCGGAAUUAUUGGGCGUAAAGAGCUCGUAGGCGGUGUGUCGCGUCGGCCGUGAAAACCUGCAGCUUAACUGUGGGCUUGCGGUCGAUACGGGCAUCACUGGAGUUCGGCAGGGGAGACUGGAAUUCCUGGUGUAGCGGUGAAAUGCGUAGAGAUCAGGCGGAACACCCGUGGCGAAGGCGGCCAGCUGGGCCGUCCCUGACGCUGAGGCGCGAAAGCGUGGGGAGCGAACAGG